AGUGAACGCUGGCGGCAGGCCUAACACAUGCAAGUCGAGCGGCAGCGGGUUCCCGCGAGGGGAUGCCGGCGAGCGGCGGACGGGUGAGGAACACAUCGGAAUCUGCCUGGUUGUGGGGGAUAACGUAGGGAAACUUACGCUAAUACCGCAUGAGACCCUGAGUCGACGGACUGGGGGUGAAAGUGAGGGACCUUCGGGCCUCACGCGACCAGAUGAGCCGAUGUCGGAUUAGCUAGUUGGCGGGGUAACGGCCCGCCAAGGCGACGAUCCGUAGCUGGUCUGAGAGGAUGAUCAGCCACACUGGGACUGAGACACGGCCCAGACUCCUACGGGAGGCAGCAGUGGGGAAUCUUGGACAAUGGGCGCAAGCCUGAUCCAGCCAUG
rnacentral:rRNA from 1 species